GAAAUAAUUAAACUAAGCUGCUAACUUAAAUCUAGUGAUUAAUAUCAUUAAUAUUUCU
rnacentral:tRNA from 1 species